GCGGUAAUACGUAGGGCGCAAGCGUUGUCCGGAAUUAUUGGGCGUAAAGAGCUCGUAGGCGGCUUGUCACGUCGGGUGUGAAAGCCCGGGGCUUAACCCCGGGUCUGCAUUCGAUACGGGCUAGCUAGAGUGUGGUAGGGGAGAUCGGAAUUCCUGGUGUAGCGGUGAAAUGCGCAGAUAUCAGGAGGAACACCGGUGGCGAAGGCGGAUCUCUGGGCCAUUACUGACGCUGAGGAGCGAAAGCGUGGGGAGCGAACAGGAUU
rnacentral:rRNA from 1 species